rnacentral:rRNA from 1 species
AAACUGGGAUUAGAUACCCCACUAUGCUUAGCCCUAAACUUAAAUAAUUCCAUAACAAAAUUACUCGCCAGAGAACUACAAGCCAGAGCUUAAAACUCAAAGGACUUGGCGGUGCUUUAUACCCACCUAGAGGAGCCUGUUCUAUAAUCGAUAAACCCCGAUAAACCUUACCACUCUUUGCCAACUCAGCCUAUAUACCGCCAUCUUCAGCGAACCCUAAAAAGGAACAAAAGUAAGCUCAAUUAUCCCCAUAAAAACGUUAGGUCAAGGUGUAGCCUAUAGAGUGGAAAGUAAUGGGCUACAUUUUCUACUUCAGAACAUACGAAAGCCCUUAUGAAACUCUAAGGGCCAAAGGAGGAUUU